rnacentral:rRNA from 1 species
UACGUAGGGUGCAAGCGUUGUCCGGAAUUAUUGGGCGUAAAGAGCUCGUAGGCGGCUUGUCGCGUCGGCUGUGAAAACCUGGGGCUCAACCCCCGGGCCUGCAUUCGAUACGGGCAGGCUAGAGUUCGGUAGGGGAGACUGGAAUUCCUGGUGUAGCGGUGAAAUGCGCAGAUAUCAGGAGGAACACCGGUGGCGAAGGCGGGUCUCUGGGCCGAUACUGACGCUGAGGAGCGAAAGCGUGGGGAGCGAACAGG